GGUGGUCAGGUAGAGAAUACCAAGGCGCUUGAGAGAACUCGGGUGAAGGAACUAGGCAAAAUGGUGCCGUAACUUCGGGAGAAGGCACGCUGAUAUGUAGGUGAAGUCCCUCGCGGAUGGAGCUGAAAUCAGUCGAAGAUACCAGCUGGCUGCAACUGUUUAUUAAAAACACAGCACUGUGCAAACACGAAAGUGGACGUAUACGGUGUGACGCCU
rnacentral:rRNA from 1 species